UUUUCGACUCCAAAGCCACCAGGGAUUCCCUCCGGCUGCUGCCAUCUGUGUCCGACCCCAAAACGGUUACAGAAUUCAACCAUUAAAAGGAAAUAAUCGAUCUGCCAGCAGAGCCAGCUCCAGCCCUCCAGCCACAGCAAAGCCGCUGACUGCUGCUAUCAGCGGCUUCGACAGCUCCAUACGGGAUGGACCCUGCAGGACACAACCGCAUCAGUAACACACACACACACACACACACACACACACACACACACACACACACACACACACACACACACACACACACACACACACACACACACACACACACACACACACGCAAAGGUGUAGGACUUUCAAAGCACAGUAAAAUAAACACAGAAUGAAUACACAUUGUUAACAACGCAGCAACACUGCUUGUACAAUCAAUCCACUGUGUGAAUAUUUGAAACAUGUCUAUAUGAAUGUAUAUUUUCACUCUGCAUUUCAGGCUCUUUGCCUCUUUGAUGUCUAUGGUUUAUGUACAAUAAUUGUUCCAGAUUUUAUUUCCAGAUUUCUUCCUCAAGCUGGUCAAAGAAAAGAGCAACAAAUGAUCCAAGUCCUGCCUGUCGCUGAACAAACGAAGCACUGUGCGUUCUGGACAGAGAUACAGUGCUAUAAUUUUCUGCACAGGAGGUCCACUCAAUCCCAAAGACUUCACAUGCAACCCAAUGUAGGCUACAGUUUUUAUAGCAUACAGUACUUCAUUUAUGUUAUGAUCCUUAUUCUCAGGACUUUGUGCAUCUGCACAUACGCAACUGUAGUUCCUGAGGCCUUUCCCUGAUUCUUUCACCACUACCUGUCUUCCCAAACCCUUAAAAAUAUUCACAAUCACUAUAGACCACAUCUUCUGGUUUUAUAUUUUUGUGGAAAACCUUUAGCCUUCUAUUAAGAUCAUAAGGAAAUAUAGAUAUAACCCUCACCAGCACGCACACACACACACACACACACACACACACACACACACACACACACACACACACACACACACACACACACACAGCCCAAACAGCGCUCACCAUCGGACCGGGACCCUUGGUGACAUCUUGCUCCAAUUUGAGGGAGGCUGUGUGAUUGGCCAGCUCUUUCAGAUCAUAACCAGCGCAGAAAUUCCCUCCUGGAGGAGACCACAAAAUUACAAAGUAUGGCAGAUGGAAAGUCAGAGAGGAAGGGAAAAUGAUGAGGAUGAAAAAAACAACAAGUUGAGCUGGAGUCCGAGGGCUGCAAUUUGGAUAGCAGCUUGCUUUGGGCUGGCUGGCACACGAUUGCUUCUCUUCCCUAAAGAGCCCAAAUCCCAUACAUGCUCGCAGAUCACGCAUGUGCACACAUAUGCACAUACGCAUUAUCCUCAUUAAUGGAAGACUAACGCGCUCCGACCACGGCCCCUUCCGUUGGAUUCAUGUGGUAAUUACAACAUUACCCAAGAGGCCUACAAACACUAUGUCACAGGCUCAGACAGGGACUCAUAAAAUCCUCCUCUCUCCUUAAUGUAACUGUAAUGAAAAUGAUUAUAACGAACACAUGUGCCAGCAACACCCAUCAACUGGGAGCUUUGAUUACAGCUGUGGGUCAGCGCAGGGCAAUUAUAGAAAAACAGUGCGUCAUGCUGUUUAUGGGAGCAGCAAUGUGACGGAGCUCCCUAAACCCCUUUGUCCCUGUAGGAAGAAAAAAAAAAAGAGCAGAAGCUAUGGAGAGCUGGUCCAUUCAUGGAGGGUCUUAAAGCUUUAUUUAGACUCUUAGAGGAGGUUAAGUUAGUUAACUGAGAGGACAAACAAACUGUAUUCAAUUAUCAUUUCAGCGACUAACAGUUGGACAUGAAGUUUAAAAAGUAAGCGGUGCAGUUAUAUCAGAGAUGUUUUAAUGAGAGAAGAGCAUUGAUUGGGAGACUGAGGUGAAGCCUUGUGGGUUUAAGCAUUAAAAAAGGACAAUUCUUAGUCCAUGCUGAACACACCGUUUUCAAAGGGACUAUUUCUUCUGUAGAAAGUAUAUUUAUGAGCAAAAGUAUGUGAACAGUCAUGUCAAGGGCUUGGAAGAUGAAUCUAUGGCGGGUAGUAAAGCAGAAAAUGACACAAAAUUACAUGAGCUUUAGGUGUUCCUCUAACUAUAUUAUUAGUAUUAUAUUAUAUUUUUGUGAAUUACUAGAACAUUUUACCACUUCAAGUCUCUUUUCAUAUAAAACAAACGGAGGAAAAUGAGCCUCCUAAGAGCUAGGAGCAGUAUGCGACGCCCAGGAACCAGCUCCAGAUCUGAGCCAGUGACACUUGCGCUGUUUCCUAUUAUGAAAAGUCAAAAUGUGAGUUAAAAAGGCUGUGUAAAAAGGCCUUAACCUCAUCCCCAUUCAACACCUUUGAACUGGCGCAGUCUUUUAGAGGAGAGGCUGCUGUUGAAGUUUGUUAAUGUAAUGUUUUGCUGCUGUGAGAACCACAAACCAAAUUCCAUCCAGUUUCUUAAAUCUUGGGAGAAAUAAAACCACCGACUCUCGAAGUUAGUGAGAAAAUAUGUUCGUCACUUGAAGACAUUGUCAAAAAGAAAAAGAUUUAGCACUGAACAAUGUGUUUUUAUGGCUCUAGUGAGGCUUCAUCUCAGUUCAGCUGUAGUGACACAGCUGGGUUGACAUCUAGAUUGUACCUGACCACAAACGCCCACAGAAAUCCAAAUCCCAAACACUCCAAAUAUGUGCCAGGAUACUCAAAACCUGCAGAAAGCAAUUACUCUCAAUUCCACGACUUAAAAAAAACACGUCGACACCGAAAAACGAGAGCUGAGAGAGUUAUCGUGUUGGCGCUAAUUUGAUCAAAAUGGCUUCCUUAUGUGUUUCAGAAACACUACAUCCAAACUAGAACCUCCCUGCUUGUCAUCUCAUAACGCAGACACACUGCUAAUCGCUGCUGAAGGUCAGUCUUCUUGUUACGGUGGAGCGGCAACACAGGACAACCUGCUGACAGGAAUGUGCGGUGGAACAAUUAAAGGCACAUUACAGACAUCGUGGAAAUCACACAAGAGCCACUUUAACUGGAACGACCUACUGUGCCGCUCAUUGCGAACCCAUUUAACACGAGCUAAUUACUCUCACACACACACACACACACACACACACACACACACACACACACACACACACACAGUUUUCCUUUCACAGCUGAGACUAGUGGCACUCAGCUGCCGUCAUCUGGAGAGGCUCCAACCUCUGAAGUACCAAACAAAGUACAUACUUGUGUCACUUGAGGCCACAGGGUACUUUAUACAGCAGACAGGUUGAUCCAGGUUGAAGACAUUAUUUCCACUGAGGGAAGGAGUUCAUUCAGUGUGUGUGAUGAUUAUUUUUAGAGGUAUUGGGAGCCCUGGCAUGAUUCUGGCUGACACAGUGCAGGCCACCCCACAGGUGUGUUUUUUUUUUUUUACUGUGUGUGGUAGCUUGGUCACCUCUGUAUGUUGGCUAGAUCUAAGGAGCCCAAGGAGCAAUGGCUGGAAAAAAAGAGGCGGAGAAAGAAAGUGAGGGAGAGAGAGUAGGUCGAGUGCUGAGGACAGAGGACAUGAUGAGAUGAAGAGCUGAAGGAGGAUGAAAAAUAAAGACAUUUCAAUGACUAUCCCGUGAUGUUCCAUACCUGCAUCAGAGCCCCUCUAUGACCGAUAAUGUUUCUCUCUGGUUUGAUUUCCUUUACUUAUUAAACCAUGAAAAUAGGAAGUUAUAAAAUACACUCUGACAUAAAAUGAACCUUUUGUAAAAGUACCUAAAAUUGCAAGACAAUACCUCAAAUUCCCUGAUUUUCUCUUUAAGGAAAGAAUUGAUAUUUUGGGAAAUGUGCUUUCUUGCUGAGAGUCAGAUGAAAAGAUCAACCAUACUCUCAUGACUGUAUGACAAAUAUGAAGCUAAAAUAUGAGACUUGUCAUGACUGCAACGUUGCCAAGAAACCAGUGGAGAGUCCAGCAAGUUACUUCUCCCAGGAAAGAAAUAGUCUAGCACAUGAUCCCCUGAAAAGCCACAACGUGUUGUUUUAAGUCUUUAGUUUUUGUACAGAUUAAGGUUUAAAGGUGAUGGUAGGUGAUGGACCUUCCCACAGAGCCAGGAUAGCAGCUUCCUGUCCAACAGUUUGCAGUUCUCUUACCUUUCCCAUGCAGCACAGCCACGUUCAAGUCUGGUGCGCGGUCGAAGGCCUCCAGCUCUUCCAGCAGACGCCUCGCCGUCUCCUGGUUCACCGCAUUACGCACCUCUGGGCGGUUUAUCCCCACGGUAACCACAGACCCCUUGCGCUCCGUGACCACAGUCUGUCCCGCAACUAAUGACAGAGAAUGAUAAAGAUGCACAGACAGAAACCAAUAUUGACCACAACACUUAGAAAGAGGCCGACCCGGAGACAUUAAGUUGAAACCCUCACGGCAGGAGGGAUGGAGAUGGAAUGUAAAUGGUUUUAUGUGGACAGACGUGAUAACAGAAACAAUGAGAGAGAUGGUCCCGGCUGAGGCGAAGGUCUUGGCUCUCGCUCCAUCUCAAUGUGUGUUUAUAUGUGUGUGCGCCAGUGAUUGUGGCUUGAGGUUGCAGCAGGCAGUUGACCUGACAUUGUUGGGGUCAUCCCAGGGAAUCCAGCUGUCAACCGCAGCCAGAGGCGACUGCAUCCAAAGAGCCCAGCAAGGAAAACAAAGGCUACUGGAUGCAUUAACCUCACUCGCACCGGCUAGAGAAGAGACUGCUAAACAAAACCCAGAAGAAGUGAGGCACAUCAGGAUGGAGGAAAAAAAAAAAAAAAAAAGGCAAUUUGUCUUAGGCCGCCCUUUCUGCUCUGCUACACCCCAAACAAAUUAUCACAAAGUGCAGUGUGUGCAAGGGAGUGGAACCAUGUUUUAACUACCUACAUGUAGUGUUUGUUUCCAUUUUAUGUCACAUUUCAGGACUGACUGUGAGCAACAUGCAGUGAGCCAGCAGAGAAAUGUACAUUAAACAUUACGGUCACAUUGAAUUGUUUCAUUUUAAUGCAAAAACUAAUUAUGAAUAGAUCUGAAAUGAUUAGUUAAUUAAGAAUUUCUAAUCAACUAUUUUAAUAUCUGACUGAAGCAAAAAGGCUUUCAGAAACGGAAAGUAAUAAGAGGAAAGCAACAGGUGGCCCUUUUUUCAUAGCAUGUUUUAACAUGUCAUAGCAAAAAACUACAGCUGGGACUAAAAAAAAAUAUUAAUACUGGCUGCAUACCAUUUAGGUUUAAUACUUUCCCAGGUCUUUUUGUAUUGUGCAUGCUGAGUCACUGGCAUGUCUUAUUGGAAGGGAGCCCUCAUUUGAGAUGAUUCAUUACACCUGCGUUAGUUCUGUUAUUACCCAUGAUGAGUAAAAGUGGAGUGUGGAAAGGGCUGAGCUCGGUGUGAAAUUAACCUUUAUUCUUUAUUCAAUUGAGGAAAUGUUUAUUGGCUCGUUCAGAGAGCUUUGCCUGUUUUGCCUCUAAAUUAUGUUAUUGAUGGUAUCUUGAUGGUAUGAAGACCCACAGUUCUCGUGUUUAUCAAGAGUUAUGAUGGAGUACAGGUGUGUUAAUGUCCGUGCUGGCACUAUGGCAGCCUCUGCCGCCCCCUACAGUCAGUAUGAAGUUACUGCAUGUUUCCACACAUACCUGCUCCUGUGUCUUCACCUCCCGUCGGAGAGCUGAAGGGUUUCCCCAACAACAAACUCGCUUUUGUCGACUGUCCGAAUGUUUUACUUUUAUAGGAAGCACCUAAAAUGUGCGUCAGAGUCGGAAAAUGUUUCAGCGCCAUUGCUUAAACUCACGAACAAUCAACAAAUUCAGCGGUAUGGUGUUUAAAAUGAUUUUCAAACGUAUAUUCAAUAACUAGCAACAGACUGCGCUAACCGCGAAGUAUCCUUCCAGGUCAGCUAACUUCAGACUUCAACUCAACUCUAAUAUGAAGGCGCAACACGUUUAUACUCCCCCAUAGAAACAGAGACAAUGCACAAGGUUCUGGGCCACAUUGGUGCAUUGCAGUGGUAAAAACUGCCAACGUACAGCAGAGGGCGACAUUGAGCCACUUUACAGGUCAACCGGUCCCCCCCUGCAGUGCAACGUGGCUCUGUGAUCCUGUAAAUGAUUGAAGCAAACUCCACCAUCAGAUUUUCAGUUUUUUUAAUAAAAGAUUUCUCUUUUUGUGUUGUUUUUACACAUUUUAAGGCAUCAUGCACAAAAAAUAAGCCAUACUAAAAGGCAUUAUGCUUACCCUCUACCAAAAAGUAUAUGUUCUAACAUUUGAAGAUUUGCUGUUAAAAAUAAGUUUGUACAAAUAUGGCAUGUAAGCUGGCAUGUCAGUGAAUCUCAAAGCAGAACAUGACCUGCUUUCACCGUUUCUGUAAACAUGGCUUUGAGCAAAAUAGGGCUGAGGAAAAGACAAGAGAAAGGGAAAGCAUGCUUCAACAUGGGGCUAAAUUUCCCUGAAAAGCAUGCAAAGCAUCUUAAAUCAUAUUUACAAUGCAUCAUUUUUACUCUCAACAGAGUUAUUUUUUAAUUGUAUCAAUUAAAGUUAAGACAUUAAAAAGUUUGUCAACAAUAACAGACGGACUGACAGACAGAAAGACAGGAUGUGUCCAUAAUUUUCCCCAACCCCAACACAGACUUAGCUCAGAUUGGUCAUUGAACACAACACUACAAGAUUUUUUUUUUUUUAAAUACAUCAAGCUUUGUAGUUGUACCUCCAGAUACUGUCAUCUGGAGGGCAGAGCAACCUCAAACAACUGAAGGUUUCUUUAAGUCGUAUUAAUUUAUAAAUGUGUGUGUAACAGCUCAACUGGGGCUAAAAAAAUCUUGUAGUGUCCACCGGGGCAGACAUCCAGGAGGUGCCGGUAGCUUUGGCACAGUUGUGUCCAGUUGUGCUCUUCUCUGGUGAUCCGUGUGCGUUAUACUAUAUUGAAGACCAUGGAUAGAUACUGUUCAUAUGAAACCUGGAUCCAGCCAUCCUGGUCUGUGUCGUACCGCCUGAACACGUCAGUCAACCUCUGUGGAAGGGAAAGGGAAAAUAAUGAAUUACCAAACUGUAAUGGUAUACAUUUAUUCAGACAGAUUUGAUGUUGAACGCUUUUCUUUUAUAACAGGCCUUCAACACUGGGUCACUGAAUAGAAUAAGUAAAUUCUUUACACUAUACUUUUGGGGAUACGCAUAUAUCAACACAAGAUCACUCAAUCAAAUAUAUUUCUGAAAAAGUGCCAAAUAAAGUGGAGCUAGAGUUAUUGUGAUGUGAUACCUUGAGCGAGGCACUUCAAAGGCUACUGUUAUAUAACUAUCCAAGUGUAUCUCAAGAGCUGCUGUAUUAAUGAAAGGUUAUAGUCAUACUUUGCAGCUUCAAUUGUAUGGGUGUGAAAUUACUGAAACAGAACAUGGCAGGCUCAAGUGGAACUUCCACAGAAGAUUAAUAAUGUAAAAGGCAAGACUGUAAUGUGUUUGCAUAAUUAAAACCCCCUUUGAAUCUUAUGAAUGCAAGAGUGGCCUUGUUGUGAUUCAAGUGCUAAACCAAAGGACAUCCUAUAUUCAUGUAUGUGCAUGAGUUCGGAGAAAUAUGAAUUGUAUUAUACAGUUAGUUUUGAUUGAGUGUGACUCGGGUUACCUGUAGUACAAUGCAGCACUGGAUGAAGUCAUCAAAGGCAACCUGUCCCUUCCUCUGGCGGUCGAACUUGUCUAUCAGCGUGCCGUAGAACUGAUCUGAUAAACGAUAGCCUGUACACAACACAGCAAACAACACAGCAAACAAGACAUCAACAAUGUACUGGGCUGGUGAGUACAUAGAAAGCCUGGCCAUCAUGACUUUAUAGCGAAGGAUAACGUUUUAAAACAGACUGCUGCAGAGCUGAGGGGUAGUAGUAGUAUUUGAGACAUGAUACGUUGAAUUAAAGGUAUUCUUCACAGAACUGCCACCAUCAGUAUGAUAUGCUCUUGUCACUGAGGCAUUACUGAAAUAUGUUGUCAGCGACAAUUUCAAAAACACAUUGAAAGCCUUGGGCAUUUUUAGAAGGUGCAAACACAGAAUCACUAAGACACAGACAGUUACAGCAGUUCAGUGGAAUCAUGUUAGCUUUAUCUGAAACACGAAUGUGUCUUUGCACUAAAUAACAAUGAUUGUGAACAUACGUUUUUAUAGCAUGACAGUGACUGUCAAUCAAGAAGAGACUUCCAAACUAUUCCUUUAAUUAGCAAUUUCCAGUGACAUGCAAGUCUAUCCAAUCACACAGAGCUAAUGAAAAGACAAAAUCUGACCUUUUGAUCCAGAAAUAGGACAUUCCUACAGACAGCUAUGAAGCCCUCCACCACAUCCGUCAAACUGAAAUACACAGUCAUACUUUGCUGCUCACCGAAUCCAGUCAGCGCCUGUCUGAGCUCGUUCUUGUCGAUAAAGCCAGAGUUGUCCCUGUCGUAGGUCCUGAAGAUGUUCUGCCAGUCUGUGAUGUACUUCCAUACGCCGGCGAACUCGUUGAAGUUCACCCCGCCUUUAUUUUCCCUGUCGAACAUGGCUGAAGGAGAGAGAAACAUUACUCACUCUCUGUCGCGUCUAGCCACACGUAUGCCUUUAAUCACGCGACAUGUUGGACUUCAGCACGGAGCUGGAUGACAUGAAAGCAAAAAUGGUACCCCAUUUCUCUGUCGGGGGACAGAGAAGUGUAAACUAUGGGUGUCACACUUGACUAACUCUUGCAUUAUAACAGAGAAGGCAAACUGCUUGAUCCCCCCACCACCAAUACUCUACUCCUCACCCCCGUGCGGUUCAAUCCAAUUACCUCCCAACAAAGGGAGUGUUAUCACAGGAUAUGCUUCUUGCUGGGGGACUAUUAAACAAUGGAUUUACUGAGUAUGGUACAGUGGGAAGGGGAGGCGAUGGAAUUAUAAAGAUUUACUCUGCAAGUCACACAACAAAAAGGGAACAAAGUACACAUUAGACCUGGGUUAAGAUAUGUUUAACAUAUUUGUGUCUGGAAGUAGUAGUAUAAAUUGUGAAGGGAGUUUGACGUUGAUAAAUCAGCCACAUUCUUCCAGAUUCCAAAAGGAGAGAUUCAAUAAUACCUUUAAGUACAAAAACAUAUUUGGUUUCAUUUGUGUCCAGGUACAGUCUGACCUACAAUAGUUUAACCUGGUCCUCGACUACACUGCAGAGUUUAAAGUUUUUAACCUCACCUGUCCUGCACAUUACAGCUAGUGUAGCGUGUAAACAGAUCAAUACUUAGAGUCUGAGGCAAUCGGAGAGCCUUUUGAGACUAAAUUUCCUAUUUCCUCCAGAUGCUUUCUCCUCCUCCCUUUUAUUGAUGGCUGCAGGUUUCCACUAAAGCAGCAGAUACUGAAGCCAAAGAUAAGUUUGUUUCUGCCCUCGGAGUGCUCAAAGCAUAAUGAAUUUAUCCGGUUGUCAUGGAAAGGAGGCAAAUAAACAACUUGCAUAGUCUGAGAACAACAGGCAGUUGUGUGAAAAUGUCUUUGUCAGCAGCUACUUACAUAUGAUGGAGCGCACCGUCACUGGGUUGAAAGGAGUCCAUGUGCCUGUGAGACAGAAGAAUACCAGUUAAAAAAAUACCAGUCCAGUGAGACUGGUGGGAUAUUUUAGUAUCUAUUGCCGGAAAGACCAAACUAAACAUGAUAACUUUACUUGUAUAGCAGUUAAAGACAGAUGAUUCUGUAAUAAGGUUUUCAGUAGAGGUUUGUAAGGUAAGUACAGACACUUGAAUAUGGAAUAAUAAAAUAAUAAACUGAUUUUCUCAUGAUAAAUAUACUACUGUAUCACCAGAUAACUAUCUAAGGAUUUUGUUUUCUCUUUUACUUAAUCACAUUAUCUUGAGAUAACAAAUUAGCUCAAUGUUAAUCUUUAUUUAUCUCAAGAUAAAUAUAGUUAGAUAGAAUGUGGGGUAAUUUAUGUUAUUCUCUUUUUGCAGACUAUGCUGCUGGCUUGUGGGACGGCUCUUUCUUUCAAGGACAAAAGGACGACACCAUAAUGUAUCCAGAUCCCUCACAUUGUAUUGGCUGACAUUUUGUUAGAGAAGUAGUAACGAUCUGUGUGUAGAAAUGAUGGACAGGGGUAAUGUUAAGCUCCCACAGGAGCCACCCACUCUGAUAAUGCAGUCACAGGAGAGGAGGAUAAAAGCAUUCGCCAAAUGGGAAAAAAUAACAUUAAGGAAGGAGUGGAUGACACAUGAACGCGUCAUAACAUUUCAUCACAGCAGAAAUGAAAAGAGGCCUGACAGUUCAGGACCAGAAAUGAAGAGGAGUGAGUGUGGGAGGAUGCAGAGAAGAACACGUAAAAGAGAAGAAAGAGACGGGGAGAGAUAACCAGAUGAGCAAAGGCAACAAAAGAGAAGAGACAAGAAAAGAUUGGUGAAGGAAGAAAAAACAUAUGCGCUUUAGUUUUUGUUGCAGUAACCUGAACUCUCUCGCCUACUUUUGCUGACCUAAGAGCCCUCCCUGAAACUCUAUCUGCAGACCCUAAAACAGCAUCUGCAGGAUUUUAACAUCUCGUCAGUGUAGUGUGGAGCCUUUCACACUGUGCUGUUCCUGCUUGUUUUUGAUUCCCCCCCAUGGUUUAGCUUUGCCAGGAGUAAGCAGGUUUGCAGCGGGAGCAAUAAGAGCUUAGAUAGUGGGCUCUUUGAACUAGAGAAUCUCAUUUAAAUAAAAAGGUUGCAAG